UGCAUCCAGAUUGAGAACAGCAGCAGCUAGAGCAGUUUCAUUGCCCAGCCCCACCGGACUCAAGUUUUCUCCAGUGAGAUGUUCCCAGAAGUUGCUGGCUGGGGCUUUCAGGAAGACGUUUCAGAUGGAAGACAGGCUCAGCUAGAAGAUCCCACAUUCAGCCUGAUAAUGCAGACUCUUUCAAGGUCAGUCCUCUGGGCUCCAUCUAUAAAACAAAUGUUUGUC
rnacentral:lncRNA from 1 species